rnacentral:lncRNA from 1 species
CGGUGUGUAUGGAACAGCUGGCAGCGGUGGAUGGGUUGUGUGAGUUGGUUAGGAAGGCAGUUGGGGCUGGGGAACCUGUUCGGAGAUACCAUGUGAACCUGUCUGUUUUCACUUCCAUUCCUGAUGCGUGGGGCAUUGAACAGGUGUUUCCGAUCAUCCCCAUUCAUCGGUUGGACGAGAAGCCUUCCGUUAGGGGUAUUCUCUCGGAUUUGACUUGCGACAGCGAUGGCAAGAUUGACAAAUUCAUCAACGGGGAGUCCAGCCUGCCGCUGCAU